rnacentral:lncRNA from 1 species
GGGCUCAAGCGGAGAAGGAGGAGGGAGGGGCUCAAGCGGAAGAGGAGGAGGUCACGGAUGGAGGAGGAGGAGAAGGCGAAGGGGCCGAUCCCGAGCCCUGUUCAUUAGAUAUUUGAAAAAAAAAUUAACGGUUACUCACCGAAGAAGGAGGCUCCGAUUAUCCACGUCGACUUGUCUUCAGUCUUUGCCACCGUCGGUUGCUCGGUCCUCCUCCUUCGCUACUAUCGCCACCGACUUGAUCCCCA